rnacentral:rRNA from 1 species
AUUGAACGCUGGCGGUAUGCUUAAGACAUGCAAGUCGUGCGGUAGGGGCUUCGGCCCUGAGAGCGGCGGACGGGUGAGUAACGCGUGGGAAUCUGCCUGCUAGUGGGGGAUAGCCCGGAGAAAUCCGGAUUAAUACCGCAUACGCCCUAAGGGGGAAAGCCGCAAGGCGCUAGUAGAUGAGCUCGCGUAAGAUUAGCUAGUUGGUGAGGUAAAGGCUCACCAAGGCGACGAUCUUUAGCUGGUCUGAGAGGAUGGCCAGCCACAUCGGGACUGAGACACGGCCCGGACUCCUACGGGAGGCAGCAGUCGGGAAUAUUGGACAAUGGGCGCAAGCCUGAUCCAGCAAUACCGCGUGUGUGAAGAAGGCCUGCGGGUUGUAAAGCACUUUCAGUUGGGAAGAUAAUGACGUUACCAACAGAAGAAGCACCGGCUAACUCCGUG